GUAAAGUAUCAGUCCCAAGUAUCGUAUUUUACGUAAAGUAUCAGUGCCUUGAAAUGUCAAUAGCCAAAGCUUUUUUCUAGAUGGGCAAGGUAUCUAUACCUUGAUACCUGUUAUUGAGGUAUCGAUACCUAACCCAAAAAGUAUCAACACCUCAUUAUUUAUAAUGACUAUUUUUUUUAGAAGUAUGGAUACCCUCUUCAUAGGUAAUGAUACAUUAGGAUGUAGGGUUGUUUCAACUUGCAUUUGUAAUGCCUCUAACGGCUCUUUUUCAUCCCCUACGACCAUAAAUAGCUAGAAUUCACUUCAUUGACAUAACGAGAGGUCGAUGAAUGAAGAGAUAUCAACGCAUUCAAGCAAGCAAAUUUUUAGAAUGCAAUUUGGGGCUAAAUAGAAGAAAAAGGAAACAAUUGGGCUAGAUUGAAGAAAGAAGCAAAGAAGGAGGGCCAAAGAAGAUUUUUUCCAAGAUUAAUUAGCCGAAAUUGUUGACUUAGUGGGAGAUUAUUUUGGGAUAUUUUUUAUAUUAUGGAAUAUUUUCCUUGAUUUUCUAUACUAGUUGACUCUUAAUUUAGCAAGGCCACUAGUAUAAAUAGAUGCUACAUUGUUCAUUUUAAUCAUCAAUUCAUAAAUCAAGCUUUCAAUUAAGUCUUUCAUUAAGUGUUUUUCUUUCUUCAAGUAUUUUUCAUCUAGUUCUUUUAUCAAGUUUUUAAUUACCAAGUUUUUUUUUAUCAAGUUUUGCAGCAAGUUCUUUUUAAAGUUUUUCAUCAAGUCUUUUCAUAAAAUUUUCCAUCAAGUUUUUAAUCAUUUCGUUUUUAAAUUAAACUUUUAUCUCUUGCAAUUCAAUCUUUUCUUUCUUUUUUUUUGUCAGCAAUUAAUUUCCAACCUUGCGUCACCUUCACCACUCACUUUCAUUUUUUUCAUUUAUUCAAUCUUAUUUAAUUAUUCCAAUACCAACAUGCCCCAAACCUUAGCCAACUAAACCCAUUUUCAGCUUUAGGCCGAAAUUAGCCUCGUCAAAACCCGUGAGUUACGAACCCGAGCCAUUUAACUCCUAAUAUUCCAGUACUUAUUACUUCUCUGGAUUAAGAGUAUGAUUUUGUCAACUCACAAAGUCAGAUCAACACUAAGUCAAAAAAGAUGUCGUUUGAUUUAGUGUGAUUAGACGUACAGUUGGAAUUCCGAAAGGAACAUUUCUAAUCGGUUUUCUGUGAACACAUUGGCGUGCCAAGUGGAGAUUGCUGUUUGGUUCCGUCAAGGGAAGUAGUAACCGGAUUUAAAUGUCUCACGCGGUUGAGGGCAUUGGUUCGAGCUAGGCUCUUCUAGAACACAAAGCUGCCGGAGUUCUAAAUCACGAACGUUUCGUGGUUGUUCGAUCGGUAAGGGUUAGUUAUUGGACGUUCCAUAACUAAUUUACACAAGGAAGAGUUGGUGUCCAAGGCGUCCUUGGUAGCUAUAACUAGCUUAUUGGAAAAGAGGAGUUCAUCCAAUUUCGAGGAUCGGUUCAAAGACGAGGAAAAUUCGUGCCUAAAGCUGAGCUUAUUCUAAUUAAUUUUUCUUAAUAUUUAUUUCACUGUUUUUAUUAUCCUGUUUUCAACUUUUACUUUUUACGUUAUUUUUCUGUUUAUUUUAGGUCAUCAAAUUUUAUCCCCCCGAAUUUCUUGGGCACGACAGAUGCCCCGACAUAAAUCUGGUCAAGAUAGCAACAAUUUACAGUAAACCAGUCUCUGAGGGAUCGACCCUACUCCCUAUACUGCAUAAUUUGCAAAUUAAGGCAUAGGUUUAUAUUGGUGGAUUCGACACCCAUCACAUUAUACAAGGGUUUAUUGUACUUUUAAGAGCUUAAUUUUGUAAACACUCACUUACUAGAGGUUGAUCAUUUGUUUGCCCAAAUAUUCUCUUUCUAUUAAAAAGCGAACUUUAAGAUUUUUAGGCAGAAAGCAUUAAUGGAUUAGAGGUUCUUGUUUAGCCUUGAAUGCUAGGAGGAGAAGGUUUUUGCCUAAGCCUUAUUAGAUUAUACUUGUCUUUGAAACGUAUCAAUUCAAGUUAAUGAAUUUGGAAAAUUCUUAUCGGCAAAGAUAAGGAGGUAGCCAAUUAAGGCCAAACCAUUGAGUCAAUAUUUUCUAUCCUUUCUCACCUUAGUGAAAACAAGUUAGAUUACCAAUUCACUCCUCCUCUCGGUAGAAUUCUUUAAGACUUUACACUCCCAAAACAAGCGUUGAUUUUUUAUUGGGGCUUUUCUAUUUCUUGAUUUCCUACUUAGAUACUUAUAAGUAGGGCUCUUUUGUGAUUUCUGAGCUUGUAUCUUCUUCUUCUUCUUCAAGGAUAACGGCUUAGUAAAGCAAAUAACCCAACCUCUUGGCAUGGAACAAAAUAUUGCUCAACAAUCAGUGGGUGAAGGAGGUGACAAGAACAAAGGCAAAAUGCCUUUCAAGAAAGAAGGUGCACGAGCUUUGUAGGAAAAAUAAAAAACCGGGGUAGCUCUAUGCACAUUUCUCUCAAGACAAAGGGAGAAUACUCUGUCAAUGCUAAGAAAAGUGAUGUCAUGUUAAGCACAUGAAAAAGCCUAGGCACCAGGAGGAAACAUCGCGAUAGAUUCCCUCUUUAAAUCUCCUUACUGGAACAAGAAUGCCUAAUAGUGCUUUGGGAAGUGAUUUAGUGGGAUAAAAGAUCAUCAAAAGUGAAGUCAGCUUUCUCGAUACAAUAAAAUGAAGGCCUUCCUUGAAUAGGAGAUGAUUACGUUUUUCUAGACAUGGUGGCUCUUCAGAUCUACUUACUGUAUGUACUUGUCACAAACACUACAUCUUAUCAUCGCCAAUUAGAAUGACACGAGAAGAGCCAAGCCAACUAGGUGGAAGCAAGACAGCAGUUAAAAUAAGAAGAAGAGCAACUUGUCUUACUAAAAGUUUCAUCCCGUAUCAAGUUCGCAUAUGCAACCAUUUGACACAAUAUCUUAUUCUUGCAAGAGCGAGUAGAAAAGUUUCAAAAAGUUGGCGUAUGACCAAAUUGCCAUACUGUACUUUUUACCCCUAGUCAAUUAUUUAGGGUUUCUUGGUGACAAAUGGUACUGUACUUUUUAGAUUGAAAGAACCAUGGAACCUGUCUUACUAUCCCCACAAAUAUAUUCUUAUCGAGGACAAGUUGGAGGUUUAUUUUUA